GUGCUCACUUCAGCAGCACAUAUGCUAAAGUUACAGUAACACAGAGAACAUUAGCAUGGCCUCUGAGCAAGAAAAAUAUUCAAAUUCAUGAAGUAUUCCAUAAAAAU